CGGAGGAUCCAAGCGUUAUCCGGAUUUAUUGGGUUUAAAGGGUGCGUAGGUGGCCAGUUAAGUCAGGGGUGAAAGACGGUAGCUCAACUAUCGCAGUGCCUUUGAUACUGACGGGCUUGAAUACACUAGAGGUAGGCGGAAUGUGACAAGUAGCGGUGAAAUGCAUAGAUAUGUCACAGAACACCAAUUGCGAAGGCAGCUUACUAUGGUGUCAUUGACACUGAGGCACGAAAGCGUGGGGAUCAAACAGGAUUAGAUACCCUGGUAGUCCACGCCCUAAACGAUGAAUACUCGAUGUUGGCGAUAUACGGUCAGCGUCUAAGCGAAAGCGUUAAGUAUUCCACCUGGGGAGUACGCCCGCAAGGGUG
rnacentral:rRNA from 1 species